rnacentral:rRNA from 1 species
ACUCAAAUGAAUUGACGGGGACCCGCACAAGCGGUGGAUGAUGUGGUUUAAUUCGAUGCUACGCGAAGAACCUUACCAAGGCUUGACAUCCUGGGAAUCUCCAAGAAACUGGAGAGUGCCUUUUGGAACCCAGUGACAGGUGUUGCAUGGCCGUCGUCAGCUCGUGUCGUGAGAUGUUGGGUUAAGUCCCGCAACGAGCGCAACCCUUAUCGUAUGUUGUAUUUUUCAUGCGAGACUGCCCGGGCCAACCGGGAGGAAGGUGGGGAUGAUGUCAGGUCAGCAUGGCCCUUACGCCUUGGGCUACACACGUCAUACAAUGGCCGGUACAACGCGCACAGCCAACCCGUGAGGGGGAGCUAAUCGUACCAAAACCGGUCCCAGUUCGGAUUGAAGGCUGCAACUCGCCUCCAUGAAGUCGGAAUCGCUAGUAAACGUGGGUCAGCAUACCGCGUUGAAUACGUUCCCGGGUCUUGUACACACCGCCCGU